rnacentral:rRNA from 1 species
GACGAACGCUGGCGGCGUGCUUAACACAUGCAAGUCGAACGAAGAGCGAUGGAAGCUUGCUUCUCUCAAUCUUAGUGGCGAACGGGUGAGUAACGCGUAAUCAACCUGCCCUUCAGAGGGGGACAACAGUUGGAAACGACUGCUAAUACCGCAUACGAUCUAAUCUCGGCAUCGAGGAUAGAUGAAAGGUGGCCUCUACAUGUAAGCUAUCACUGCAGGAGGGGAUUGCGUCUGAUUAGCUAGUUGGAGGGGUAACGGCCCACCAAGGCGAUGAUCAGUAGCCGGUCAGAGAGGAUGAACGGCCACAUUGGGACUGAGACACGGCCCAGACUCCUACGGGAGGCAGCAGUGGGGAAUCUUCCGCAAUGGAAGAAAGUCUGACGGAGCAACGCCGCGUGAGUGAUGACGGCCUUCGGGUUGUAAAGCUCUGUUAAUCGGGACGAAAGGACUUCUUGCGAAUAGGGAGAAGGAUUGACGGUACCGGAAUAGAAAGCCACGGCUAACUACGUG